rnacentral:tRNA from 1 species
GGGCCUUUAGCUCAGUUGGUCAGAGCGGUCGGCUCAUAACCGACUGGUCCGGGGUUCGAGUCCCUGAAGGCCCACCA